GCUGCUUAGUGGUGCAGCUGGUAGCACUGCUGCUUUGCAUCAAGAAGGUCCUGAGUUUGAAUCCCAGCCUCAGCU